GACAAGAACGUUCAUCCACUCUUUUUUAAUACAAUCAAUGAAUCUUUACAAUAACAUGGGUCCAUAGAUUAAUUUGUGAAGGAAAGUAUAGAAUAAGGUCUUUUUGCUUUCUUAUUGCCUUCCUUGGGAUCAAGUUCUUUUUUUUUUUAAAUCUUUCUGUGCAAGUUCUAUAUUUAAUUGGUUUAUUGUAAACAGAGAAAAAAUCUCUGCAAAAAAAAACUUAUAUAUAAUAGAGGUAACAUUGUUUUGUUAUUUUAAGUCAAUAACACAAUGACACGUUGAAAAGUUACAUAAGAGUUUCUAUCUUGGCUGGGGGGUUAAUUUUUAUUUUUGGGAAUUAAUUAUAAAAAAGGUUUUUCUUUUUCCUGUGUUUGGUAAAAAAAUGCAAAGGAUACUUAAUGAUUCUCAGCAUAUAUGAUCGGGCUCUAGAAGAAGCAAUCUCCUCGUCCACCAAGCAUCUGGUACUUGCUUUUGUUGAAGAAUCACAUGACUUAUGAUGUCCAAGCCAAAGCAAAGAAUAGGCUCAACCGCUAUUUUUAAUGGCUUCUUUCUUUUUCUUUUCCUGUUUAUAGUGUAGAAGCAUUAGUUUGCUUAUGGAACUUAAUUACUUCAAAUUCACUUAAACAAAGACAUUGGCAUAAUAAUCGUGUUUUAGUGGAGCCAUCAACAUGAUGACAUUGUUAUCCAUUUGCACAACUAAACAAAUCGUGUAGUUGAAUCUCAAUUUGAGCCGUAGUUGUACAUUAGGCUAAGGUAGUGUGUUCGUCCAUUUACACAUGGAUUAAAAUAUCUGAAUAAACUAGAGUAAUUUAUAAUAUCGCUUUAUUUAAAUUAAAAAAAUUUCAAUUUAGAGUCGAUUGGGCUGUCUAUAUUUGAAACAAGGAAGAAGUUGUUGCUAUUCUUUUCUUAUAUCUGUAAUUUAUUUAUUCAGCUACCAAACACAUGCUUGUAUCCAAUCCAAAUUUGCUCUUGAUGUUGGUGUUCAUGUGGGUUUCUCUGCAUCGUUUCUCUAGAAAUGAGAGCAAGGGUGGUGUUACUGCAUCGUUUUCGGGAAAGCAAGUGAUAUUGCACUCAAAAAAUUGCUUGACAAUGCUCCUCAACAGUGUAUCUGUACACCCUUCAAAAAAGAAUAGUGUACUCUGUACGUGUUUGUUUUAUUAUUUAACAUUGUGUACUUUUAUUUUUUAAUUUGACCCACUAAAAAAAAAAACACUUCGAAUGUACAAGAUGAUUAGCUAAAUGCACUAUUAGUGUCUAAUAGCACAACUAACACCAAUAAAUAUGGUUAUUAGCUAAUGUCCGUGAAUUUGUAGUGACCGUAAGGAAAAAGCAUAAUUUCAUAUGAAUUUGAGUCAACAAUAGUAAUAAAGAAAUAUAAAUAAAGAUCUUUGACUAUGUCAUGAGUAAUAAUAAUUCACAUGUAUUAAGGGAAGAACACUCAUCUUAUUUAAGUACCAAAAAAUUCGAUGACUAAUUGGAUAACACAAUUAUACACAAACCUAAGAGCAACAGUUUCCAGAGUUUCACACCCGAAACCCUACUGUAUAUAUAGAACAUAGGUCAAAGAACGAGGCUGAAACCCUACUCCAAAUCUCAGCAUCAAAACGCGGAUUAGUUAAACAAUUUAUUUUGUUUAAGGAUUAAUUCUUUGAGUUUGAAUGGCUACUUCCUCUCCGUUCCCACCCACCCACCUAUCAUCAAGCAAAGACAGACUGGUUUUUUAUUUUGUUGAAUGAAUUUUCUACUUCAGGCUUCAUACUUUCACUUUUCACGAUCUUGUCGGCACCAGAGCUUUAUAAUUGCCUCAAUGAAAACUAUAUACUCAUAGCAAGGACAAGGAGGGCCACACAUAUUAUAUUUUGAGGCUUGUAUAAGUUUUUGGAAUGAAAGCGAGGCAUUUCUGUCAAAUUAAAGAGCUAUAUAAUAUCUCAUAUAAUAAAUAUUUGGGUUUUUUUUUUCUUUCUCUUUCUGUUGCUCUUUCAUUUUCAUUUUGAUGUUGAUUGUUUUUUUUGGAUCAGAAUCUCAGGUUAACAUGGACCGUACAAGUGUAGUGUUGCUUGUAGGAGGCAAGAUGUCGGUAAUCCUAUUUUAUUAAGGUAAUAGAGCAGAUAAUAUUGAUCUAUCCAAGGUUUGGUAGGAGCAUCCUUAGUUGGUUUAAAUUAUUAAUAAAUAAAUAAAGAUGAUUGGGCGUCAAUGCGCAGUGAGCACAGUUAAUUACCAACAAUGUCACAUGAUUAUAGUAAAGCGUACUUAUAAUGUUCUUAAUUAUGGGGACAGUCUCAUGGUAAUUGGCAAGGGCUCACAGUUAACCAAAAACCUGAAAAGUACUAGUACAAGCUUGUUUUGAGAGCAUUAUCUCCUGACCUCUUCGACUUUUUCCUAAACGAUGAAAAAAUGAAGUUGACAGAGUUUGUAAUUUGGUCAUGUUUAAAAGCGUUGAAUUUCAUAUUGAUGAAAUUGAAACCCUAUAACCCAUUUCGAUAAUGAUACUGACUUGCAGGGAGUAAAAUGUAGGGAAUCCUAAUUUCAACAUAGACUCCCUCUCAUAAAAGCAAUCCAUUUGAAAUUGGGCUACCAUCACUUUUGGUUAUAUGCCCCUUAUGCUUUUGAGAUUGCUUAUUCUCCCAACAAUAUGAAUAUACCCCAUGCAAAACCAAAAGCAAAUUCCCACAUAAGUUAACCAAUUGUUGAAAGCAAUUCCCUCUUAUCUCAUUUUAGUAUACUAAGUGCCAACACCUAACUCCUCCUUUCCUUCGAAGUUGGAUAUUUUUAGCCAAAAGCCAUCACUAGAAUUAAGGAUCGAAUGAUGCAUGCCUAGUGGUGGAGCAUCUGUCUACCGAUGACCACGAGAAAACAGUCAUGUUUUUUGUCUAUCAUCCACUUAAAUAUUAAAAUACAAUUCGUAAUUAUCUGAAUUUGAAAAUAAAUAUCCCAUUAUUGGUCAUCACCAUUGAAGCUUCCUUCAAUUUUGAAAGGGACUUGCAAAGAGAAUUUAUAAGGUCAGAAGGGUACGUGUACAUUGGUUGUUAUUUGGUAGCCAACUUGGAUGAAGAUAUUUAUUUAGCCGCAAAUCAGGAUUUUUUAACUUAAUUAAUUAUAUUUUUAGAUGACAUUUCUUUUUUUGGGUGGGUGGAAGAAGGACAUUUCGAGAAGUCUCUAAUGCUUUCGUCUUUCUUUCCUCACCAGAAGGCCCAAAGCCUUUCCCACUUGCAUUGCACGACAGCAAAUCGGAUUGCUCCCAAAUUUAGCUAAGCUUUUUGCAUGGUCAGCCCAAUUUAGCAAAAGCUUACGUCUCCCUCCAAAUCAUGAAGUUUUUGUUUGUUGCUGUUUGGGUUUUGCUGGUGUUAAGAGCAUAAUUAACAUGUCGAUGACUAGCUAAUCAUAUUUUAUUAAUUAACUUAAGUUUUACGAUUGAUUCUUCAUCAAUCAACGACUAAGAAUCAUUCAUUUACACGCAAAUGACUAACAUUAAUAGCGUGAAUGACUAACCCUAAAAUGUUUGUAAUCAUAGUAUUGAAUGUCUUUGUCAACAUGUUUUGAAAAUACCAACUACGUUGUCAAGCUUUCUUUCGGGAUUCAUUUUUCAAGAUGGUUUCUUCAAGCAAUAGUUUUCUCACAGGGGUAGACAAUGCACUUGAAAGUGAUUUUUAACUUGUUAACGUCUAAUUCGUCUACUUAUUUUCGUAUUAGUUAGCGUAUGAUUUAUUGAAUUUGUAAUACGCAUUUGAGAAGUAAUAUUCUUUUAUCAAAUUUACGUUGUCACAUAUAUUUAUAUUGUUAGAUUGUGAAUUCAAACUGCACUUUGAGAUAAAAUCGAUAUAAUCAACGGUCUGCCACAAUUGAAAGAUUAGUCCUAAAUGAUGAAGAUAGAACACCAAGAACAUUAUUUUUUAUGAAAGAAAAAUUCUAUUUUCUUGAUUUCUUUGUUAGAGAAUGGAACAAGUAAGAGUAAGGUCAAAUAUGAUAUGCAAGUUGGAAAGCUGAUGUGGUUGUAACUUGUACUUGUCAUUGAUAUUUUGGAAUUAGAUUCCGUAAAAUAUAAACAUCCAUGUUAAAGAUUCAUUGGUCAAGAAUAUACCAACCAUUAAAAUAUUUUGUUGGGAUCCAAUCAAUUGUUAAAUAUAAGUCCCUGAGAAAACCAAGUUGUGUGUUAGAAUGGGAAAGAAAGAUAACGUAGAAGUAGCGAUCAGUCCAAUUUAGAAUGGACCCUCUUACAUAUCUGGGUCAACAAUUGAACAUCGUCUAGAUAAGUUGGCUUCCAUUUUUUCUACAUUUUGUUGUAUAAGAAAUUGAUGGUGGACUCUAAACAAAACCCAAAACGGUCUUUUUCUGUUUAUAUUUUUUAUGAUAAUGAGAGGAAAAAUCAGCUAUAGAAAUUGCUAGUGGUCAAAGUCAUUGGAGAUCUGUUUGAUGAUUGAAAUAUAUAGUUCUGAUCUCUUGGACUAUAGGGGUCUAAGAGAUUUGUGAUCACUCAUUGUUGCAUGUAAAUUCAACGGUUCAUUCACUCUUGCACUCCUUUUAAAAAUUUUUUUUUGAACUAUUGGAUUAAUAUCCAACGGUGGGUGACCACAAUCUCUUGGACUUCUGUAGUCCAAGAAAUCGGGACUGUUGAAAUAUAAUACAAAUGUGUGACAAAAAAUAUAUAAACCAUGAGAUUCUGGAGCAUUAUGAAAUGUCGGAAACAACAAAUGAAAAAUUGAGAUUAUUAUGAACGAUAAUUUACAUUGUUUCCUUAUGCUAAAGAAAUGCAAGCAAUUGUAUCGCUAAUUCUAAAAAAUAAAUGCAAGGAAUAAGUGAUUAAAAACAAACAAAUUAAGGACUAUUGAACAUGAAAAAUCUGACGUUGCUUUGUCAUAAGCCCAGGUCCUCUUUUGUAAAACCAUUAAUGAGAUCAAAUCCCUCCAUCACUGGGCCUCUUUUGGAAACCCAUUAAACAUCCCAGGUCACAAGAAUUAUCCUGAAAAUUUCUCAAUAAAGCCAAGAAAUGCUUCAAUUCAGCCAUUUCGUUCAUAUUAAUUAAACCCUAAACCCCUAAACUUUAUAAGGAUAGUUUCGAAUUUCUAGUUUGCUCCAAUAUCUCAAACUUAUUAAGGUUUGUUUUGCGUUUCUAAUAAAUCUAC
rnacentral:lncRNA from 1 species